ACAGAGGAGAACCCAGAUGAGAGCGAGAGUCUCUUUUCACCUGCAAAGGAGAGCGGUCAGCAUGCUGCUGCUCGGCUUACUGUGGGCAGUCAUGCUGUCCACCCGUGUCGGAUCCAGCACAGCCCAGACGGUCACUCAGACUCAACCACAAAUGUCCGUGCAGGAGGCAGACACUGUGACCCUGGACUGCACGUUUGACACUCGUGACAGUGAUUAUUAUUUGUUCUGGUACAAACAGCCUCCCAGCGGGGAGAUGGUUCUCAUUAUUCGCCAAGAAGCUUAUAAGCAAGAGAAUGCAACAAAUGAUCGCUUCUCUGUGAACUUCCAGAGGGCAGACAAAUCCUUCAGUCUCAGGAUCUCAGACUCCCGGCUGGAGGAUGCUGCAAUGUAUUUCUGUGCUCUCAGGGAGGCACAGUGACAGGAGCAACCGGGAGAGGCUUACAGAAACCUCAGACCUCAGCAUCUGUGCAGAGGUCGGGGGUGGGAGGAGUGGCUAGGGCACCAGGAAUAUAGAAAAUCUUUGACUUCUCUUGGA